CGAAGUUUUAAUCUCGAACCCGUCGUCUUCGGUGAGGAUUCUACCAAAACUGAAAACAGACGGAACUAAAAAGAAACCAAAGGAAGCGUUUUUCAUUUUCGCAGUUCGUACAGGAUUCUGAAUCUCGAGAAAAGGCUUCGUUUUGGGUCCGAUUCUUUGAGGUUAUGGAAGUAGAUUUUGGUCCUAUUAGUUGUUGCUCCAAGGAGCAUCAAAGGAUCUACCAGGAGUGGUUCAAUUACGCUGAUUAUGAUGGUGAUGGGCGCGUUACGGGUAAUGAUGCUACGAAGUUCUUCGCCAUGUCUAAUUUGUCUCGACAGGAUCUCAAGCAGGUGUGGGCAAUUGCGGAUUCCAAGCGACAGGGGUAUCUUGGUUUUAAAGAGUUCAUUAGUGCCAUGCAGCUAGUUUCUCUGGCACAAGCUGGGCAUGAAAUAAAACAUGACCUCCUGAGCAGUGAUGUUGACUUGAAAGACGUGAAACCUCCAGUGAUGGAAGGUUUAGAUGCACUAUUGGAGAAGAAAAAACGUUCAUCAAAGACCAGUGAUAAUGAUCUAAAUGGUGGUUCCCUAGUGAAAACAUCACCUUCGGCAAAUUGGUUUUCUUCAAAGUCAGCGAAAAAGGUAUCUUCAUCCUCUGUCACAUCAAUCAUAGAUGGCUUGAAGAGACUGUACAUUCAAAAGCUGAAGCCUCUGGAAGUUACCUAUCGUUUUAACGACUUCGUAUCGCCAUUAUUGACAAAUAGUGAUUUUGAUGCCAAACCAAUGGUGAUGCUUUUGGGCCAAUACUCCACUGGGAAAACAACAUUCAUUAAGCAUUUGCUCAACUGCAAUUAUCCUGGAGCUCAUAUUGGACCUGAGCCAACCACGGACAGAUUUGUUGUUGUGAUGUCUGGACCAGAUGAACGAAGUAUCCCUGGAAACACUAUUGCUGUCCAAGCAGACAUGCCCUUUAGUGGUCUCACAACCUUUGGAACUGCAUUUUUGUCAAAAUUUGAAUGUUCUCAAAUGCCGCAUCCUCUUCUGGAGCACAUUACAUUUGUGGAUACCCCUGGAGUUUUAUCGGGUGAGAAGCAACGAACUCAGAGGGCAUAUGAUUUUACGGGUGUAAUAUCCUGGUUUGCUGCAAAGUGUGAUCUCAUCCUACUUCUGUUUGAUCCUCACAAACUUGAUAUAAGUGAUGAAUUCAAGCGUGUGAUUUCCUCUUUACGUGGCCAUGAUGACAAGAUUCGUGUUGUUCUGAACAAGGCUGACCAAGUUGAUACUCAACAACUAAUGAGAGUUUAUGGAGCUUUGAUGUGGUCGUUAGGGAAAGUUCUUAAUACUCCCGAGGUUAUGCGUGUGUACAUUGGCUCAUUUAAUGACAUACCUGUAAAUGAAGCUGCUGCUGGUCCUAUAGGGAAAGAACUUUUCGAGAAGGAACAGGACAACCUUCUUUCUGACCUAAAAGCUAUUCCAAAGAAGGCCUGUGAUCGUAGGAUCAAUGAAUUCGUGAAACGUGCCAGAGCUGUCAAGAUACAUGCUUAUAUCAUAGGUCAUCUUAAAAAGGCGAUGCCUGCUAUGAUGGGGAAAACUAAAGCUCAACAGAAGCUUAUCGACAAACUGGAAGAAGAGUUCGCAAAGGUGCAAAGAGAGUUUCAUCUGCCACCGGGAGAUUUCCCAAACGUCGAACAGUUUAGAGAGAUUUUAAGUGGUUACAACUUUGAUAAGUUUGAGAAGUUGAAGCCUAAGAUGAUACAAGCUGUUGAUGACAUGCUGGGCUAUGACAUACCAGACCUCUUGAAGAACUUCAGAAAUCCGUACGAUUAACGGUUCUCGGUUUCUCAUUGUCCUAGAAUUGCAAAUUGUCAAACAAGUAUAGAUCGACACCCAAUAAAUUUUAGAUUCGUCUUUACUGCAAAAUUGAAGAAGCUAGGGUUUCCAGUAGAAUAUUCAGUGGGAUAUUCUUCUCUUUUCUUGCCAAUGCAACAUAAAAUCAAGAUAUUAAGGCAAAGAAAAGUUUUCCAAGAAACCCCUUCAGGCAUGCCUUUCUUAUCCACCAAGAACAAGGUUUCAACCCCUAAGAAGGUACGAAAAUCCUUCUUCUCCAGCAUACUCAAAACCACUCACCGUUUCUUUGGUUCCCCAAAUGAAAAUCAACUCCAUUGUCGUCGGAGGAUAAAUCAUCAAGAAGUGAAAAUAAUAAGGGAGGUUGCUGUAGAAGUGACGAAUAAUAAUAUCGUCGACGAUGACGACGACGACGAGGGGAGGAAUUGCAAGGCUUUGGUGCUUCAUGGAGUGGAUGCAAAAGCACAAGAAUACAUUGAUAGUGUCAGAAGAACUUGGAUGAUAGAGAAGCAGAAUUCUGAUAAAGAGUUUUGUGACAUGCUUGCUAGGGGCACCUAAUAAAUCAUUUUAGAUUUUUAAGACUGAUUUAGUGAUUGGGUUUUGUCAUGAAAAUGGGGUUUGGACAUUUUAUUUCAAUCCCCCCACUUUUUUUUUGUAAGUGUCAAUGUUUAGGACUCUAUUUAAUUAAAAUAUU